UACGUAGGCAGCAAGCGUUGUUCGGAGUUACUGGGCGUAAAGGGUGUGUAGGCGGUUGCUUAAGUUUGGUGUGAAAUCUCCCGGCUCAACCGGGAGGGUGCGUCGAAUACUGAGUGACUAGAGUGCGGGAGAGGAAAGUGGAAUUCCUGGUGUAGCGGUGAAAUGCGUAGAUAUCAGGAGGAACACCGGUGGUGUAGACGGCUUUCUGGACCGUAACUGACGCUGAGACACGAAAGCGUGGGUAGCAAACAGG
rnacentral:rRNA from 1 species